GAGUUGUGCCUUCCUUAGCAUCGGCGUCACUACACACCUGCUCCAUAUUAAGUCACACACGAUUUGAAACGCGCGAGGAGGACGCUGCCUGGAGUGCCAAGAAAAAGUGGACAGUGGACUUGUUCCAGAAGCUGUUAGUCAAGAUGUGCCAUGGUAGCAGAAUGUCAAAGGACAAUUGGUGAGGCCUCCCUGCAUGAGGGCGCAGAAAAAGAUCCUUACAUACCUGGAACCUGACAACAUGAUUGACAGGGUUGCAGAAAAAGAAAAGUGCCUGCAGGGAUGUUGACUGCGUGAAGGCCAAGAGGACAUGAUGUGCCGUGAAGUCUGUUAGCUCUGACUUCACCUGAAAACUUUCAGAAGACUGAUGACAGAGGGUCCUCGCAGGAGUUGAUGCACAGAUCUGCAGCAACCCGAAGUCGGAGCGCUACCUCGGCUGACACAGAAAUGUGUUUCAAAGUGCAGACGAAAGAUUCAGGGAAUCGCAUUUGAUCCCACACACACACUUGCAUGAAUGCUUGCUCAUCAUACUUCCCCCUGAAAAAUCCUGCAUUACGUUUCUCCUUGACAAGCUUCUGGUUAGUGCUUAGUCACUGAAUCACAAGGAAACCCAGACCAAAGAAAAUGAGCUGCUUAGUCCAAACAGUUGUAGGGAAGAUUGCCAAACAUAUUUGUGAUGUGUGAAGAAAUUUAGUGGUUUAAGAAGUGUUAAGAUCAGUAAUUUAAGAAAAAGUAGCAUGACAAAUCCUAGAUGGAGAUGAAAUUAACACAUAUUAUAUACUGUUGUCCAUGUAAGGGUGAAUGUAUAUUGAGCAGGUGGAAUCCAGACAGGGCAAGCAGCACCUCUCUUCUCACUGAUUACCCAGUUACCAACCAAAGACAUAAACAAGUUGACACAGAAUAUUGAUUUUAAGAUUAUUUUAUUAGUUUAGAAAUGAUUUAAAUAUAUAACUUAAACAUAUAGUCCCUCAGAUUUCUCGUGGGGUAGUGUUUCCAGGGCACCUGAUUCUUAUCAACCUCCUGGCAAAACAAAUUAACAUUAAAUUUAACAUUUCAGGGGCACUAUUGGCUUAUCGGUUUAAUCAUGCACCCCAUAUACAAAGGCUACAGUCCUCGUUACAACAGUCGCUGGUACGACUCUCAGCUGCUUGUCUCCCCACAUUUCCUGUCUCUCUGUCAGCUGUCCUGUCCAAUAAAGGUGAAAAUGCUCAAAAAUAUUACUUUAAAAAAAUGCAACAUUUCAGUUCAUGGUCAGGUUAAAACAUCAUCCUGCUGGUUUGUGAUGAGUCACAUUAAACUGAAUAAUACAACGCAAGACAAUGUGACCAGGACUUAAACAGGAAUAUUUAUGUUGACAGUUCUGUCCUCAUUUAGCCCUCCUUCUUCUCAGGACUUAGCGCUUGACACACU